rnacentral:lncRNA from 1 species
AAUAUUUCGAGGGGGACUGCGCUUCUGUCUGGUGCAGACUUCGAGAAGAUGAACGAUGAAUUUAUACCACAUGCACUACCUAAAAAGGUGCAUGGGCGCCCGAGUGGUAACGCUUUCGGUUUGCUACGCAGGAGGACCUGGGUUCGUGUCCCGUGUCUGGUAACUCCGGAAAAGUUUUUCGGGGUGCUGGGCCCGGUCCGCCGAUCCCCGUCCUUCAGCAUCCUGCCCCUCUUCACGGAUAUAGGUACAGACCGUGGUUGGCCCCACCCCUUAGUAAUCUUCCUGAUUGGAAAAGGGGCGUAAAAUAUGCAAAA